GAUGAAGAACGCAGCGAAAUGCGAUACUUGGUGUGAAUUGCAGAAUCCCGUGAACCAUCGAGUCUUUGAACGCAAGUUGCGCCCGAAGCCACUAGGCCGAGGGCACGCCUGCCUGGGCGUCACACGUCGUUGCCCCCCCAUCUACUCCUUCGGGAUUGCGGGGGGCGGAUGAUGGCCUCCCGUGCGCCUAGCCGCGCGGUUGGCAUAAAUACCAAGUCCUCGGCGACGCACGCCACGACAAUCGGUGGUUGCGAAACCUCGGUUGCCCGUCGUGUGCGUUCGUCGCGCAUCGAGGGCUCGAAAAAAUGCUCGGCUUCGGCUCGGCUUUCAACGCGACCCCAGGUCAGGCGGGGUUACCCGCUGAAUUUAAGCAUAUCAAUAAGCGGAGGA
rnacentral:misc_RNA from 1 species